rnacentral:rRNA from 1 species
AUGAAGUUCGGCAAGGAUUUCCGGAGCCACCUGGAGGGCACGCUGCCGGACUGGAAGGACAAGUACCUCGCCUACAAGGCGCUCAAGAAGCUCAUCAAGACGCUCCCCCCCGACGCCCUCGUCGCCNNNNNNNNNNNNNNNNNNNNNCCGCCCCCGCCCCCGCCCCCGCCCGGCCUCGGGGACUGGUUCGCCCGGAUCCUCGACGUCGAGCUCCACAAGCUCAACGACUUCUACAUGGAGCGGGAGGAGUGGUACGUCAUCCGCCUCCAGGUGCUAAAGGAGAGGAUUGAGCGAGUCAAAGCGAAGAAGAAUGGUGCUUUUACAUCCAAAACUGAGUUCACUGAAGAAAUGUUAGAGAUACGUAGAGAUUUCGUGCUUAUCCACGGCGAAAUGAUACUUCUGCAGACCUACAGCUCCCUGAACUUUGCUGGGCUAGUGAAGAUACUGAAGAAGUAUGACAAAAGAACAGGCGGCGUGCUCAGCCUACCUUUCACUCAGCGAGCUCGCCACCAACCAUUUUUCACCACCGAACCGUUAACAAGACUUGUUCGAGAAUGUGAGGCUAAUCUUGAAAUCCUUUUCCCUGUUGAAGAUGAAGUACUCGAGUCUGGUUCCUCUUCAAAGCAUCAGGCUCAUAAUGAUGCGGCUAGUCGUGACCCAGCUUCAUCUUGCAACGCAGAAACCUCGGAGGUGUACCGAAGCACACUCGCAGCAAUGAAAGCGAUAGAGGGCCUUAAGAAAGCCAGCUCUACCUACAAUGCCCUGUCUCUGGCUAGGUUCUUCCAUGGAGAGGAUGGCGAAGCAUGUUCUGGCGCCAUAACAUCUGAGAGCUCGUUAUCAGAUUCCAUGACAGAUUCCCAGGUAGAAGAUGCUGACAAGAAUGACAAAGAGGUGCAAUCAAAGGAGCAGAGCUCUGCUCAAACUGGCCAUAACGCGGAAGCGGAGCGACGCGGUGGAUAAUAAUCAGUCUUUGCAUGCUAUUUCGAAUCUCCCAUGAUAAGUGUAAAUGAUAGAACUGCUAUAACACCAAUAAUCUGGAUGUUUAGCCAGUCUUUGAAAUGUGUGACCAUAAGUCAUGUUUUAUUUGGAUGCUUGGAGUUUUGGAGCUGUAGGAAGAAAGUGUGUGUGACAUUUAGCUGAUUUGAUUUGAAAGGAGUUGUAUACAGUCUCUCUGUUUCUCAAGGUUUUUGUAUAGCCACUGAUGUUCGGCUUCAGCAAACCACUCAUACGGUGUACCCUCAAAGAAAAAACACUCGUACGGUG